CCGCUCACCGACGACGACAUGGUGUCCUACAUCCUGGCAGGACUCGACUACGACUAUGUGUCCUUCGUCUCCACCAUCUGCGCUCGUACACAGCAAAUCAAGGUGAGCGAGCUCUACUCACAGCUAAUCAGCUUUGAAA
rfam:Triticum aestivum genome assembly, contig: Triticum_aestivum_CS42_TGACv1_scaffold_145841_2BS